GACGAACGCUGGCGGCGUGCUUAACACAUGCAAGUCGAACGGAAAGGCCCUGCUUGCAGGGUACUCGAGUGGCGAACGGGUGAGUAACACGUGGGUGAUCUGCCCUGCACUUCGGGAUAAGCCUGGGAAACUGGGUCUAUUACCGGAUAGGAGCCAUUUUAAGGGUGAUGGUGGGAAAGUUUUUUCGGUGUAGGAGGAGCUGGCGGCCUAUCAGCUUGUUGGUGGGGUAAUGGCCUACCAAGGCGGCGACGGGUAGCCGGCCUGAGAGGGUGGACGGCCACAUUGGGACUGGGAUACGGCCCAGACUCCUACGGGAGGCAGCAGUGGGGAAUAUUGCACAAUGGGCGCAAGCCUGAUGCAGCGACGCCGCGUGGGGGAUGACGGCCUUCGGGUUGUAAACUCCUUUCGCUAGGGACGAAGCUUUUUGUGACGGUACCUAGAUAAGAAGCACCGGCUAACUACGUG
rnacentral:rRNA from 1 species